CGCUGCCACUUUCCGGACGUGGCUCCAGGAGUGGGGCGAGGCCGGAUGCACAGGCAUACUGGGAGAAGGGCGAAGUCCCAUGAUGCCUCGCUUUGUCACUUCCAAUCAGACUCAAGGCAAAACGCCUCUGCUCAGAAAAAUGUGUUGUAGGGUUGUAUCCUUGCUUCCAGGAAUGCGAGAAAAGCAUUAUGGGUUAGAUAGUGAAUGUUUGGGCGUCUUUCUCUUUCACGCUACGCUUUGGGGAUUCCCAGAUCCCCCGAAUGUACCCUUUUCAAGCACGCGAUCAAAAUCUGGCCUGGUGGAGAGGCGAAGAUGGACCCUGCAUUUCAGACAGAUAAGUGGUUAAUAACAGAUCUGCGGGUGAGAAACGGUGGCAAUCUAGUAAGGUGGUAGGACACACCAGGUCCUAUAUCAAGACGAGAGUUCCAAGACGUUUCCAUCGGCUGUUGUUUUUUUAACAGAAGGCAGUCAAGGAGGUUUCUUGUAUCUUUCCUCUCCUAGAAGCAUGAAAGAUUCAUUCUGUAUGUUCAGGAAGUGUAAAGCUUCCUUAUUUUAAAAACAUUUUUUUCUUAUUACAAAAUAAAUGUUAAAAAGAAGGAACGUUUAAUAAAAUCAAGUUCUUCAGAGUAGGGACGAAGAGCAUGAGAAGAAGAUUAACAUUAAACAGGGAUGAGAGGUGGGAGGGAAAGGGAGAGAGAAGGGAAAUUGCAUGGAAAUGGAAGGAGACCCUCAGGGUUAUACAAAAGUACAUACAAGAGGAAGUGAGGGGAAAGGGAAAAAUAAUACAAGGGGGAG
rnacentral:lncRNA from 1 species